rnacentral:rRNA from 1 species
AGAGUUUGAUCCUGGCUCAGGAUGAACGCUAGCGGCAGGCCUAAUACAUGCAAGUCGAACGGUGAUAUUUAUAUCAUAGUGGCGCACGGGUGCGUAACACGUAUGCAACCUACCUAUUAUUGGGGGAUAGCCUUUGGAAACGGAGAUUAAUACCGCAUAAUACGAUUAACUGGCAUCGGUUGAUUGUUAAAGCAUUUGCGAUAAUAGAUGGGCAUGCGUCCAAUUAGUUAGUUGGUGUGGUAAUGGCUCACCAAGACGAUGAUUGGUAGGGGAUCUGAGAGGAUAAUCCCCCACACUGGCACUGAGAUACGGGCCAGACUCCUACGGGAGGCAGCAGUAGGGAAUAUUGGGCAAUGGGCGGAAGCCUGACCCAGCCAUGCCGCGUGCAGGAAGACGGCGUUAUGCGUUGUAAACUGCUUUUUUAUAGGAAGAAGGAUCCCUUGCGAGGGAAGGUGACGGUACUAUAAGAAUAAGCACCGGCUAGCUCCGUGCCAGCAGCCGCGGUAAUACGGAGGGUGCAAGCGUUGUCCGGAUUUAUUGGGUUUAAAAGGGUGCGUAGGCGGUUUAUUAAGUCAGUGGU